CUUACCAGGCAUUGACAUCCAAUGAACUUUCCAGAGAUGGAUUGGUGCCUUCGGGAGCAUUGAGACAGGUGCUGCAUGGCUGUCGUCAGCUCGUGUUGUGAAAUGUUGGGUUAAGUCCCGCAACGAGCGCAACCCUUAUCCUUUGUUGCCAGAGGUCCGGCCGGGAACUCAAAGGAGACUGCCAGUGAUAAACUGGAGGAAGGUGGGGAUGACGUCAAGUCAUCAUGGCCCUUACGACCAGGGCUACACACGUUCUACAAUGGCGCAUACAAAGAGAAGCGACCUCGCGAGAGCAAGCGGACCUCAUAAAGUGCGUCGUAGUCCGGAUUGGAGUCUGCAACUCGACUCCAUGAAGUCGGAAUCGCUAGUAAUCGUGGAUCAGAAUGCCACGGUGAAUACGUUCCC
rnacentral:rRNA from 1 species